rnacentral:rRNA from 1 species
CGAAAGCUAUUUAGGUAGCGCCUCGUGAAUUCAUCUCCGGGGGUAGAGCACUGUUUCGGCAAGGGGGUCAUCCCGACUUACCAACCCGAUGCAAACUGCGAAUACCGGAGAAUGUUAUCACGGGAGACACACGGCGGGUGCUAACGUCCGUCGUGAAGAGGGAAACAACCCAGACCGCCAGCUAAGGUCCCAAAGUCAUGGUUAAGUGGGAAACGAUGUGGGAAGGCCCAGACAGCCAGGAUGUUGGCUUAGAAGCAGCCAUCAUUUAAAGAAAGCGUAAUAGCUCACUGGUCGAGUCGGCCUGCGCGGAAGAUGUAACGGGGCUAAACCAUGCACCGAAGCUGCGGCAGCGACGCUUAUGCGUUGUUGGGUAGGGGAGCGUUCUGUAAGCCUGUGAAGGUGUGCUGUGAGGUAUGCUGGAGGUAUCAGAAGUGCGAAUGCUGACAUAAGUAACGAUAAAGCGGGUGAAAAGCCCGCUCGCCGGAAGACCAAGGGUUCCUGUCCAACGUUAAUCGGGGCAGGGUGAGUCGACCCCUAAGGCGAGGCCGAAAGGCGUAGUCGAUGGGAAACAGGUUAAUAUUCCUGUACUUGGUGUUACUGCGAAGGGGGGACGGAGAAGGCUAUGUUGGCCGGGCGACGGUUGUCCCGGUUUAAGCGUGUAGGCUGGUUUUCCAGGCAAAUCCGGAAAAUCAAGGCCGAGGCGUGAUGACGAGGCACUACGGUGCUGAAGCAACAAAUGCCCUGCUUCCAGGAAAAGCCUCUAAGCAUCAGGUAACAUCAAAUCGUACCCCAAACCGACACAGGUGGUCAGGUAGAGAAUACCAAGGCGCUUGAGAGAACUCGGGUGAAGGAACUAGGCAAAAUGGUGCCGUAACUUCGGGAGAAGGCACGCUGAUACGUAGGUGAAGCGACUUGCUCGUGGAGCUGAAAUCAGUCGAAGAUACCAGCUGGCUGCAACUGUUUAUUAAAAACACAGCACUGUGCAAACACGAAAGUGGACGUAUACGGUGUGACGCCUGCCCGGUGCCGGAAGGUUAAUUGAUGGGGUUAGCGCAAGCGAAGCUCUUGAUCGAAGCCCCGGUAAACGGCGGCCGUAACUAUAACGGUCCUAAGGUAGCGAAAUUCCUUGUCGGGUAAGUUCCGACCUGCACGAAUGGCGUAAUGAUGGCCAGGCUGUCUCCACCCGAGACUCAGUGAAAUUGAACUCGCUGUGAAGAUGCAGUGUACCCGCGGCAAGACGGAAAGACCCCGUGAACCUUUACUAUAGCUUGACACUGAACAUUGAGCCUUGAUGUGUAGGAUAGGUGGGAGGCUUUGAAGUGUGGACGCCAGUCUGCAUGGAGCCGACCUUGAAAUACCACCCUUUAAUGUUUGAUGUUCUAACGUGGACCCGUGAUCCGGGUUGCGGACAGUGUCUGGUGGGUAGUUUGACUGGGGCGGUCUCCUCCUAAAGAGUAACGGAGGAGCACGAAGGUUGGCUAAUCCUGGUCGGACAUCAGGAGGUUAGUGCAAUGGCAUAAGCCAGCUUGACUGCGAGCGUGACGGCGCGAGCAGGUGCGAAAGCAGGUCAUAGUGAUCCGGUGGUUCUGAAUGGAAGGGCCAUCGCUCAACGGAUAAAAGGUACUCCGGGGAUAACAGGCUGAUACCGCCCAAGAGUUCAUAUCGACGGCGGUGUUUGGCACCUCGAUGUCGGCUCAUCACAUCCUGGGGCUGAAGUAGGUCCCAAGGGUAUGGCUGUUCGCCAUUUAAAGUGGUACGCGAGCUGGGUUUAGAACGUCGUGAGACAGUUCGGUCCCUAUCUGCCGUGGGCGCUGGAGAACUGAGGGGGGCUGCUCCUAGUACGAGAGGACCGGAGUGGACGCAUCACUGGUGUUCGGGUUGUCAUGCCAAUGGCACUGCCCGGUAGCUAAAUGCGGAAGAGAUAAGUGCUGAAAGCAUCUAAGCACGAAACUUGCCCCGAGAUGAGUUCUCCCUGACCCUUUAAGGGUCCUGAAGGAACGUUGAAGACGACGACGUUGAUAGGCCGGGUGUGUAAGCGCAGCGAUGCGUUGAGCUAACCGGUACUAAUGAACCGUGAGGCUUAACCUUACAACGCCGAAG